UUGAUGAUAGAUGAAGCCUGCAGGGUUCGGGGGCUUGAGAGAGGAGGUCUCCCAGAAGCCUCUGAUCUGGAAGGCAGGAGAUAUGCUUCCUCCCAUUUUCUCCAUUUAACUUCAUUUUUCUCUUAUGGGAAGGUGAUGAUGUACUUUGCUAAGGAAGAGAGUCUGCUUAUGUUUGCAGUACACAUCCCUUUGGGGAGACUAUUUGUUGUAGUAGUUUUAGUUCACAGCAAAAUGAAGCAGGGGAUGCAGAAAGCUCCCAGCUCCCUUUCACAGCCUCCCCACUGUGCAGCCUCAGAGUGGUGUGUUUCAUAUAGUGGGUGAACCUGCACUGACCGUUGAGAUCCCCCAGAGCCCUUGGCAUGGUUGGAUUUGCUCUGGUGGUUAAAGAACCCAGUUCUCUGACCCACUCCCCCCACUUUUUAAAAAGCCUAACCUUGAACUCCUGACCUCCCUACCUCUGUGGCUGAAGUGCCACACAGGCCUGCACACCACACCUGGCCUGACUUGCUCCCUGUGGAGACGGUGAACUUACCUUCUGUGUGGGUCCCUUAGAGUCAGGGUGAUAACCAGCCGGUGCUCUAAUAAUGACGUGAUGGUUUAUUAUCAUUGGGCUUUCAAUACAGGUCGAGAGCUAUGAGUUUUGAUUUUCCUUUUAAAAAGGGAUCAGGAAUACCUCUACUGACAACCAAUUUGUCCCCGCAAUGCCUCUCGCUCCUGCAUGCAAUGGUGGCCUAUGACCCUGACGAGCGAAUUGCAGCCCACCAAGCCUUGCAGCACCCUUACUUCCAGGCACAGAGUAGGGCGACUGAGACGCAGGCCCCCGCCAACCGCAGAACUCACUUCCCCCAGAAGCCCGUGGCACCAGAGCCACUAGGUCACAACUGGUUGUUCUCAAAGGAUGGCAGAGCGCAGCAGCCCCUGAGGCAAGAGGAGGACAAUGCCGGAAGACAAGGCCCGGCCAGCUUGAUGAAGCUGCCGAAACUGAGGCUUUCAGGAAUGACCAGACUGCCAUCAUGUUCCGGCCCCAUGCUGCGGUCGGUGUUGGGUGCUGGAACAAAUGGAAGAGUCCCAGUGUUGAGACCCCCCAAGUGUGCAGGUGUGAACAAGAAGACAGACACUCAGAAGGUCAUCAAACCUAACCUGAAACAGUACCAUCUGCCCACGAUCAACAGGAAAGGGGGUGAAUACUGA
rnacentral:lncRNA from 1 species